UAUGUUAAUAGAUAAAUUUUUCAGUGAUACUCAAGUAAUUUUAUUUAGAGUUUGUAAAACGUAUGCCCAUUUAUUUACUUGCAUUUAGUUUUAAACAAUAUUAACUAACCAGCCCCAAUGUUUUUAAAUUGUAAAAUUAUUUAUAUUGUUGUUUAUAGCUAACAAAAAAAGCUAUACAUUUAUUUAUAAUGAUGAAAUGAGGCCUUUUGUUACAUAAAACAACAUGAACUAGAGUACACCGUUCGCUAUGCAGCAUGGUUCACACCCAAAGGGUUUGGUAAUACAGAUGCUCAUAGUAAAAAACACAAAGUAUUAUGGGAAAGUGAAGGAUGUUACGCAAAUGUUCCAUUCAUAGUUUUAGCACGCAAAGUUUUGAAUUGCUCACAUGGAAUAGAUCGUAAUGAUGCAGCAAAGAAAGCAUACAAGAAUAAGACAAAAACAAAGAUAACAGAACACUCUUGUAUGAGGAGUUAUAUUAAUGUGCAGGACACGAAAAAACUUAAAUGCCCAGCCCAAGUUAUUUUGAAGGAAAUUAUAUACUUCAAGAAUUACAUGGUAUUUUUAAAGUGAUUUACUAAGGUUGUAAAAAUUUUUGUUACUAUUUGUAAUGCGCAAACAAUAAAAAAAAAAAUUAAGAAUAGUAUUCUAAACAUGUUUUGUAAUUUAUAAUUUAUGCCAAUAUUAGAACUAGUUUUAAUUCGAAGCAGAAAGAGGGCAAAGCCAUAUAAGUAAAACACACUCGCAGUGAUUUUUGGGCAUAUCACUGCAUAAACUGUAUAAUUUUUUUGGGUAUGUCACUGAAUAAGCUGUAACAUUAAUUACCUCUAUUUUUUUUAUUUCCUUUUUCAUAAUUUAAAGCUUGCUGAACCAAACACAUGGAAAAAGAGAAAAACUUCUUUAAAAAUAAAAAAUUUGCUAAGGAAAAAAAGCGAAAUUGGAGUCACUGAGAAGCAAAUUAAGCUAAUUAUUGAUGACAUUUCAGCAACAAAGAAAUCAUGCUGUUAGUUAGAACUAUACAGAAAAGAACUUCAAAAUGGACUCGAGGUAUCGUCAGUACGCAAAAAUAAUACCAAAUUUUUUAAUAAAUAGGCCUCGUGCAUUGGUCAAGCGUUGUUUUCAGAAAAUCAGUUUAGCUGGAAGCAUUGAUUUAUCUAAAGUCUUAAUGAUAAAUCAUAGGGUUUUUUCCAUUAAAGAUAACAAAGAAAACUACUAGAUUAAUUUUGGAAAUGAUAAUUCUAUGCCUAACUGCACAUGUACUUCCUGGCGUUCAUCUUGCUUUUCCUGCAAGCAUUUUUUUGCCAUUUUUAGAAAGUUUCCACUCUGGCAAUGGGAUGCAUUGUCAGAACUCUAUCUUAGUUCACCAUUCUUAACAUUAGACAAUGAAGAAAAUACUUUACCUGACAAAAUAAGUUGUUUUCAAAAUAAAGAAACUUUAUAUGCAACAGAUGGAUGUGACAUUAGUUUAUCAAAUUCUAAAAAUCUAGACUUGUCUGAAGAAAUAAAUGCCAAAAAAAAUGUGUUCGUACAUUGUUUCGUACAUCGAUUAUUUAUUUUCUUUUACUCGACUAGAUUAUUUAUUUACUAGUCGAGAAGGAAACAUUGUUAUAGCAGAGCUAAUCGAGACGAGUUCCCUUCGUACCAAAGUACUACUCAUACGCUGAGUAGGCGAAGCCGAGAUUUGAACCUGCAAUCCUGCUACUACGGACAAUAAUUAUUCCGAACUUUAUAGCAGCGCUUUAACCAACUGAGCUAUCCCGGCUCAAAACCGCUUCGUACCCGCUUCGUACAUCCUUUUUAUAUCAUGACUUAUAUCAUUGUUAUAACACCCACGGCUUAUUUUUUAACCACUCAUUUGGCUUAAAUUUAUUUGGUUUCAUUACAAUAUUUAGUUAGUCUAAUUGCAAUAUUUAUUAAUAUAUUAUUUAUCUGCUGAUUUUCAUUUUAUUACUGUUAACAAGGAACUUUUAUGUUGUAUUAUCUUGCAUUCAUUACUCAGCUAUGUUUUAAUUUUCACAUGCACAAUUCUCAUCUUUAUUAUUAUUUAGAGAUUAUUUUUAUAUCCUUCAUUAAAUGUAUACAUAUAUGCUAUCAUAUAUUAUUCAAUUA
rnacentral:lncRNA from 1 species